rnacentral:rRNA from 1 species
CGGGGCCUACGGGGCGCAGCAGUAGGGAAUAUUGCUCAAUGGGGGAAACCCUGAAGCAGCAACGCCGCGUGGAGGAUGAAGGUUUUCGGAUUGUAAACUCCUUUUGUUAGAGAAGAUAAUGACGGUAUCUAACGGAUAAGCACCGGCUAACUCCGUGCCAGCAGCCGCGGUAAUACGGAGGGUGCAAGCGUUACUCGGAAUCACUGGGCGUAAAGAGCGCGUAGGCGGGAUAGCAAGUCAGAUGUGAAAUCCUAUGGCUUAACAAUAGAACUGCAUUUGAAACUGCUAUUCUAGAGUAUGGGAGG